CAGUAGCCACGGUAAUACGUAGGGUGCAAGCGUUAAUCGGAAUUACUGGGCGUAAAGCGUGCGCAGGCGGUUUGUUAAGACAGAUGUGAAAUCCCCGGGCUCAACCUGGGAACUGCAUUUAUGACUGGCAGGCUAGAGUAUGGCAGAGGGGGGUGGAAUUCCGCGUGUAGCAGUGAAAUGCGUAGAUAUGCGGAGGAACACCGAUGGCGAAGGCAGCCCCCUGGGCCAAUACUGACGCUCAUGCACGAAAGCAUGGGGAGCAAACAGGAUUAGAUACCCCUGUAGUCCCUGUCUCUUAUAC
rnacentral:rRNA from 1 species